GUGUCUUACGAUGCUUUCACCGAAAUAUUGAAUGCGAGAUAAGCAAGAAUCCCACACGAGGCACGGGUCAUGGUAUGGGUCACUUUCACCAAGCACUCGGACCAUGUGCCAUGGCAUGGGUCACCUUCACCUAGCACUCGGAACUUGUGCCACGGAAUGGGUCACUUUCACCUAGCACUCGGAACGUGUGCCACGGAACGGGUCACUUUCACCUAGCACUCGGAAAGUGUGUAAUGGCCUCAAUUUCACCUAGUAGCACUCGGACACAUGUGUCAUGGCCUCUCUUUCACCUUGCACUCGGGAUCACGCACGAGGAACCACACCAUGCACAAAGCACCCCAACCACCGGACACCAUGAACCACACACAAGGCACCAUGGGGCAUGGCCAGAGGCGAUGCCGCACUCCACAUUGUAAGUGACUUUGUCUCUACCGUGUGCUUGCGGAACGCGGACUUUGCACCUACUCGCCUCGUCGCCCAUACGAGGUGCGGGUUCGUAACCCUCGAAGGGUGUACGAUCUAGCUCGGAAAAAGGUUUGAGAUGUGAGGGACGAAACGAAGCGACAAGGGCUGAAUCUCAGUGAAUCGUGGCAGCAAGGCCACUCUGCCACUUACAAUACCCCGUCGCGUAUUUAAGUCGUCUGCAAAGGAUUCUACCCGCCGCCCAGUGGGGAAUAGCGCUUCAAGGCCCGCCGCCCAGUGGGGAAUAGCGCUUCAAGGCGUCCCGCGAGGCUCGUCCACCUCGCGAGGGUCACCAACGACACGUGCCUCUAGGGGGCCGAGGCCCCCUACUGCUGGUUGGCAAACAGGCGAUGGGCACACGUAUCGCUUCUAGCCCGGAUUCUGACUUAGAGGCGUUCAGUCAUAAUCCAACUUAUGGUAGCUUCGCGCCACUAGCUUUUCAACCAAGCGUGAUGACCAAUUGUGGAAAUCAACGAUUCCUCUCGUACUAGGUUGAAUUACUAUUGCGACAUUGUCAUAUGUAGGGUAAAACUAACCUGUCUCACGACGGUCUAAAACCAGCUCACGUUCCCUAUUAGUGGGUGAACAAUCCAACACUUGGCGAAUUCUGCUUCACAAUAAUAGGAAGAGCCGACAUCGAAGGAUAAAAAAGCAACGUCGCUAUGAACGCUUGGCUGCCACAAGCCAGUUA
rnacentral:lncRNA from 1 species